rnacentral:rRNA from 1 species
CAAAGGAGAAAUCCGAUGGGAGAUGGACUCGCGGCUGAUUAGAUAGUUGGCGGGGUAGAGGCCCACCAAGUCGACGAUCAGUAGCCGGACUGAGAGGUUGAACGGCCACAUUGGGACUGAGACACGGCCCAGACUCCUACGGGAGGCAGCAGUGGGGGAUAUUGCACAAUGGGGGAAACCCUGAUGCAGCGACGCCGCGUGAGGGAAGACGGUUUUCGGAUUGUAAACCUCUGUCUUUGGGGACGAAUUGAGACGAUACCCAAGGAGGAAGCUCCGGCUAACUACGUGCCAGCAGCCGCGGUAAUACGUAGGGAGCAAGCGUUGUCCGGAAUUACUGGGUGUAAAGGGAGCGUAGGCGGGAUAGUAAGUUGAUUGUUAAAACUAUCGGCUCAACUGGUAGAUGCGAUCAAAACUGCAAUUCUUGAGUGAAGUAGAGGCAGGCGGAAUUCCUAGUGUAGCGGUGAAAUGCGUAGAUAUUAGGAGGAACACCAGUGGCGAAGGCGGCCUGCUGGGCUUUAACUGACGCUGAGGCUCGAAAGUGUGGGUAGCAAACAGGAUUAGAUACCCUGGUAGUCCACACUGUAAACGAUGAUUACUAGGUGUGGGUGGACUGACCCCAUCC